rnacentral:rRNA from 1 species
UACGGGGGGGCGAAGCGUUGUUCGGAAUUACUGGGCGUAAAGGGCUCGUAGGCGGCCAACUAAGUCCGACGUGAAAGCCCCGGGCUCAACCUGGGAACCGCGCUUGAGACUGGCACACUCGAGUUCGGGAGAGGAUGGUGGAAUUCCCAGUGUAGAGGUGAAAUUCGUAGAUAUUGGGAAGAACACCGAUGGCGAAGGCAGCCAUCUGGACCGACACUGACGCUGAGGCGCGAAAGCGUGGGGAGCAAACAGG